AACGAACGCUGGCGGCAUGCCUAAUACAUGCAAGUCGAACGAGAUCUUCGGAUCUAGUGGCGCACGGGUGCGUAACGCGUGGGAAUCUGCCCUUGGGUUCGGAAUAACGUCGGGAAACUGACGCUAAUACCGGAUGAUGACGUAAGUCCAAAGAUUUAUCGCCCAGGGAUGAGCCCGCGUAGGAUUAGCUAGUUGGUGGGGUAAAGGCCUACCAAGGCGACGAUCCUUAGCUGGUCUGAGAGGAUGAUCAGCCACACUGGGACUGAGACACGGCCCAGACUCCUACGGGAGGCAGCAGUAGGGAAUAUUGGACAAUGGGGGCAACCCUGAUCCAGCAAUGCCGCGUGAGUGAUGAAGGCCUUAGGGUUGUAAAGCUCUUUUACCAGAGAUGAUAAUGACAGUAUCUGGGGAAUAAGCCCCGGCUAACUCCGUGCCAGCAGCCGCGGUAAUACGGAGGGGGCUAGCGUUGUUCGGAAUUACUGGGCGUAAAGCGCACGUAGGCGGCGAUUUAAGUCAGAGGUGAAAGCCCGGGGCUCAACCCCGGAACUGCCUUUGAGACUGGAUUGCUUGAAUCCGGGAGAGGUGAGUGGAAUUCCGAGUGUAGAGGUGAAAUUCGUAGAUAUUCGGAAGAACACCAGUGGCGAAGGCGGCUCACUGGACCGGCA
rnacentral:rRNA from 1 species